AGAUUGAACGCUAGCGGGAUGCUUUACACAUGCAAGUCGAACGGCAGCGCGGACUUCGGUCUGGCGGCGAGUGGCGAACGGGUGAGUAAUAUAUCGGAACGUGCCCAGUAGCGGGGGAUAACUACGCGAAAGCGUGGCUAAUACCGCAUACGCCCUACGGGGGAAAGGGGGGGAUCGCAAGACCUCUCACUAUUGGAGCGGCCGAUAUCAGAUUAGCUAGUUGGUGAGGUAAAGGCUCACCAAGGCGACGAUCUGUAGCUGGUUUGAGAGAACGACCAGCCACACUGGGACUGAGACACGGCCCAGACUCCUACGGGAGGCAGCAGUGGGGGAAUUUUGGACAAUGGGCGAAAGCCUGAUCCAGCAAUGCCGCGUGCAGGAAGAGGCCUUCGGGUGUAACU
rnacentral:rRNA from 1 species